rnacentral:rRNA from 1 species
UACAGAGGAUGCAAGCGUUAUCCGGAAUGAUUGGGCGUAAAGCGUCUGUAGGUGGCUUUUUAAGUCCGCCGUCAAAUCCCAGGGCUCAACUCUGGACAGGCGGUGGAAACUACCAAGCUGGAGUACGGUAGGGGCAGAGGGAAUUUCCGGUGGAGCGGUGAAAUGCAUAGAGAUCCGGAAGAACACCGACGGCGAAGGCAGCGUCCUGGCCGAGCACUGACGCUCAGGCACGAAAGCGCGGGGAGCAAACAGG